rnacentral:rRNA from 1 species
GAACGGGUGAGGAACACGUGAGGAACCUGCCCCGAACUUUGGGAUAACAGUUGGAAACGACUGCUAAUACCGAAUGCCGUUACGAAGUGGCAUCACUUUGUAACGAAAGAAUUUCGGUUCGGGAGGGCCUCGCGGCCUAUCAGCUUGUUGGUGAGGUAAUGGCUCACCAAGGCGACGACGGGUAGCCGGCCUGAGAGGGCGACCGGCCACACUGGGACUGAGACACGGCCCAGACUCC